AUUGAACGCUGGCGGCAGGCCUAACACAUGCAAGUCGAACGAGUGGCGGACGGGUGAGUAAUGCCUGGGAAACUGCCCUAUGGAGGGGGAUAACUACGGGAAACUGUAGCUAAUACCGCAUACCAUCGGAUGUGCCCAGAUGGGAUUAGCUAGUUGGUGGGGUAAAGGCUCACCUAGUCGACGAUCCCUAGCUGGUCUGAGAGGAUGACCAGCCACACUGGGACUGAGACACGGUCCAGACUCCGACGGGAGGCAGCAGUGGGGAAGAUUGCGAAAUGGGCGCAAGCCUGAUGCAGCCAUGCCGCGUGUAUGAAGAAGGCCUUCGGGUUGUAAAGUACUUUCAGUGGGGAGGCGUUACCCGCAGAAGAAGCACCGGCUAACUCCGUGCCAGCGGCCGCGGUAAUUC
rnacentral:rRNA from 1 species